GUGCGGGAGCGAUAGUAGCGGCAUCCUUUUUGUAAAAUAAAAAUGCCAUAAACCUCAGUUUUAACUAUGGUUUAUGGCAUGUACAUAUUUUUUAGUGUAUGGCUACAGCUUUACAAAAAGAUAUAUUUACAAAAAGAUAUAGCGGAUAGCGCGGUUUUUA
rnacentral:sRNA from 1 species